AAAUUGAAGAGUUUGAUCAUGGCUCAGAUUGAACGCUGGCGGCAGGCCUAACACAUGCAAGUCGAACGGUAGCACAGAGAGCUUGCUCUCGGGUGACGAGUGGCGGACGGGUGAGUAAUGUCUGGGAAACUGCCCGAUGGAGGGGGAUAACUACUGGAAACGGUAGCUAAUACCGCAUAACGUCGCAAGACCAAAGUGGGGGACCUUCGGGCCUCACACCAUCGGAUGUGCCCAGAUGGGAUUAGCUAGUAGGUGGGGUAACGGCUCACCUAGGCGACGAUCCCUAGCUGGUCUGAGAGGAUGACCAGCCACACUGGAACUGAGACACGGUCCAGACUCCUACGGGAGGCAGCAGUGGGGAAUAUUGCACAAUGGGCGCAAGCCUGAUGCAGCCAUGCCGCGUGUAUGAAGAAGGCCUUCGGGUUGUAAAGUACUUUCAGCGAGGAGGAAGGCGUUGUGGUUAAUAACCACAGCGAUUGACGUUACUCGCAGAAGAAGCACCGGCUAACUCCGUGCCAGCAGCCGCGGUAAUACGGAGGGUGCAAGCGUUAAUCGGAAUUACUGGGCGUAAAGCGCACGCAGGCGGUUUGUUAAGUCAGAUGUGAAAUCCCCGGGCUCAACCUGGGAACUGCAUUUGAAACUGGCAAGCUUGAGUCUCGUAGAGGGGGGUAGAAUUCCAGGUGUAG
rnacentral:rRNA from 1 species